UACGUAGGGUGCGAGCGUUGUCCGGAAGUAUUGGGCGUAAAGAGCUCGUAGGCGGUGUGUCACGUCGGCCGUGAAAACCUGCAGCUUAACUGUGGGCGUGCGGUCGAUACGGGCAUCACUGGAGUUCGGCAGGGGAGACUGGAAUUCCUGGUGUAGCGGUGAAAUGCGCAGAUAUCAGGAGGAACACCGGUGGCGAAGGCGGGUCUCUGGGCCGAUACUGACGCUGAGGAGCGAAAGCGUGGGGAGCAAACAGG
rnacentral:rRNA from 1 species